UGCUUUCUCGAGCGAGUGGCGAACGGGUGAGUAACGCGUGAGGAACCUGCCUCAAAGAGGGGGACAACAGUUGGAAACGACUGCUAAUACCGCAUAAGCCCACGACCCGGCAUCGGGUAGAGGGAAAAGGAGCAAUCCGCUUUGAGAUGGCCUCGCGUCCGAUUAGCUAGUUGGUGAGGUAAUGGCCCACCAAGGCGACGAUCGGUAGCCGGACUGAGAGGUUGAACGGCCACAUUGGGACUGAGACACGGCCCAGACUCCUACGGGAGGCAGCAGUGGGGAAUAUUGCACAAUGGGGGAAACCCUGAUGCAGCGACGCCGCGUGGAGGAAGAAGGUCUUCGGAUUGUAAACUCCUGUUGUUGAGGAAGAUAAUGACGGUACUCAACAAGGAAGUGACGGCUAACUACGUGCCAGCAGCCGCGGUAAAACGUAGGUCACAAGCGUUGUCCGGAAUUACUGGGUGUAAAGGGAGCGCAGGCGGGAAGACAAGUUGGAAGUGAAAUCCAUGGGCUCAACCCAUGAACUGCUUUCAAAACUGUUUUUCUUGAGUAGUGCAGAGGUAGGCGGAAUUCCCGGUGUAGCGGUGGAAUGCGUAGAUAUCGGGAG
rnacentral:rRNA from 1 species